rnacentral:rRNA from 1 species
UAAUUUGCCGACUUCCCUUACCUACAUUAGUCUAUCGACCAGRGCUUCUUACCUUGGAGACCGGCUGCGGAUAUGGGUACGCACUGGCCCGAAAAUAGGCUUCGCGGACUUUGGGGAGUCCGCUCUACCUCAGUUACCGCCCUCGCGUGUUUCACGGGCCGGCGGUGGCGCUCGGGACGCCGCAAGAACCGCGGCGCUCUACGGCAGUCCGUGUUACAAACACCCUUUCUCUCUGCGAAUGGCUUCCAGGGUCACGGCGCCUUAAACAGAAAAGAAAACUCUUUCCCGGACCACCGCCGACGGACGCG